CUGGUCUCAUGUUUUGCAUGAGUAACCCUAAAUUUGUCUAUGUACAUGUUUAAACCUUUUCACAAGAUCUUUCUCUUACGCUUUUCUCACUUGGAACCUUAUCUUUUCUUCCUUUUCUUUUCCCACCUCCUUCUAAUUCUUCGGAUGCAUGCUCCCAAACCGCGCGUAUAUUUGUGCGCAGGUGAUGGUGAUUUGUCAAGUGCGGAAAGAUAGGAAAGACAUGGAAAACUCUUGGAGAUGAUUUUUUCUUUUUUUUCUGAAAACAUGGGUGGGGAAUAAAUAUGGGGCAUUCUUGAGAUGCUCUAGUAUCACAAAAUCGUCUAAUUUAUAAGAGCACAAGUAAAGUGGUUGGAUGUGUUCGUUUCACUAAAAUAUAUUUUAUGUUGAUGCUUAUGUUGAUUUCUUGUGAGAGAAAAACACUAUUCAUUUGCUAAAAAUAUUGUUGAAGAAUAGGGAUUAUCAAGAACAGUCGCUCGCUCGCUCACACUUGAGCCUAGAUGAAUUGGGUAGUUUGUCAAGUGUCACGAACGUGGAACAUAGUCCUAGGGUACCUUAAGGAAGGAAGAAGAUCUAGUCUAAUUAGGAUUUUUCAAAUGUAAUCCUAGUAGAACUAAUACCUUGUAAUCCUACUAGGACUCAUAUACUGUGUCACAGAACCGAUCAAAUUAUAAGAGUUCAAGUGUAGAAAUGAUCGUCAGAGCAAUCAAGUUUCAAAACUUGAGCCCACAUAAUCCUCGUAGUCAACUGAAAUCUCGAAGGAUUUCAAACCAACUCGGCAACAAACUAAGAUCGUAAUAAGUUCAGCACAAUACAUCGAUUGUUAUAGCAUUUCAUACAAGGUCGACGAAGUGACACACAUGAGAGUUUACUUAAGUUAUUACAAACCAAG
rnacentral:lncRNA from 1 species